GAUGAACGCUGGCGGCGUGCCUAAUACAUGCAAGUCGAGCGAACGGACGAGGAGCUUGCUUCUCUGACGUUAGCGGCGGACGGGUGAGUAACACGUGGAUAACCUACCUAUAAGACUGGGAUAACUUCGGGAAACCGGAGCUAAUACCGGAUAAUAUUUUGAACCGCAUGGUUCAAAAGUGAAAGACGGUCUUGCUGUCACUUAUAGAUGGAUCCGCGCUGCAUUAGCUAGUUGGUAAGGUAACGGCUUACCAAGGCAACGAUGCAUAGCCGACCUGAGAGGGUGAUCGGCCACACUGGAGCUGAGACACGGUCCAGACUCCUGCGGGAGGCAGCAGUAGGGAAUCUUCCGCAAUGGGCGAAAGCCUGACGGAGCAACGCCGCGUGAGUGAUGAAGGUCUUCGGAUCGUAAAACUCUGUUAUUAGGGAAGAACAGAUGUGUAAGUAACUGUGCACAUCUUGACGGUACCUAAUCAGAAAGCCACGGCUAACUACGUG
rnacentral:rRNA from 1 species